GGCAGCAGCCAUAUCACCCUCAACCUGGCAACCCACUGAAGCUAAGCAGGUGUGAGAUUGGCGAGUACCUGGAUGAGAGACCUCCUGGGAAAAAAAGGUUGCUGCUGGAA
rnacentral:rRNA from 1 species